AACGAACGCUGGCGGCAUGCCUAACACAUGCAAGUCGAACGAGAUCUUCGGGUCUAGUGGCGCACGGGUGCGGAACGCGUGGGAAUCUGCCCUUCGGCUCGGAAUAACAGUUGGAAACGACUGCUAAUACCGGAUGAUGACGAAAGUCAAAAGAUUUAUCGCCAGAGGAUGAGCCCGCGUAGGGUUAGCUAGUUGGUGUGGUACAGGCGCACCCAGGCGACGUUCCUUAGCUGGUCUGGUAGGAUGAUCGGCCACACUGGGACGGAGACGCGGCCCAGACUCCUACGGGGGGCAGCAGUCGGGAAUAUUGGACAAUGGGCGAAAGCCUGAUCCAGCAAUGCCGCGUGAGUGAUGAAGGCGUUAGGGUUGUAAAGCUCUUUUACCCGGGAUGAUAAUGACAGUACCGGGAGAAUAAGCUCCGGCUAACUCCGUGCCAGCCGCCGCGGUAA
rnacentral:rRNA from 1 species